UGAGUACGAGAUGCUACGGCAUCGAAGCAGUCUAUGUCAUACUUCCAAGAAAAGCUUGCAAUGUCAUAAACAAAUAAUGCCUGUACCAUAACCGACACAGGUGGGUAGGUAGAGUAUACUAAGGGGCGCGAGAUAACUCUCUCUAAGGAACUCGGCAAAAUGACUCCGUAACUUCGGGAGAAGGAGUGCCAUAUUUUUAUAAGGUUGCAAUAACAAGAUCCAAGCAACUGUUUACCAAAAACACAGGUCUCCGCUAAGUCGUAAGACGAUGUAUGGGGGCUGACGCCUGCCCAGUGCCAGAAGGUUAAAGAAGUUGGUUAGCAUUAGCGAAGCUGAUAACUGAAGCCCUGGUGAACGGCGGCCGUAACUAUAACGGUCCUAAGGUAGCGAAAUUCCUUGUCGGGUAAGUUCCGACCCGCACGAAAGGCGUAAUGAUUUGGAUACUGUCUCGGAGAGGGGCUCGGUGAAAUAGACUUGUCUGUGAAGAUGCGGACUACCUGCACCUGGACAGAAAGACCCUAUGAAGCUUUACUGUAACUUGAGAUUGAAAUUGGACUUUAUCUGCGCAGUAUAGGUGGGAGACGUUGAAAAUAUUCUUGCGGGAAUAUUGGAGUCAUCAGUGAGAUACCACUCUUAUAAUGUUAGAUUUCUAACUUUGUAUCAUUAUCUGGUCAAAGAGCAGUUUCAGGCGGGCAGUUUGACUGGGGCGGUCGCCUCCCAAACGGUAACGGAGGCGCACAAAGGUUUCCUCUGAACGUGUAGAAAUCGUAUCUAGAGUGUAAAGGCAUAAGGAAGCUUGACUGUGAGACCUACAAGUCGAGCAGGGACGAAAGUCGGUCUUAGUGAUCUGACGGUGCUGAGUGGAAAGGCCGUCACUCAACGGAUAAAAGUUACUCUAAGGAUAACAGGCUGAUCUCCCCCAAGAGUUCACAUCGACGGGGAGGUUUGGCACCUCGAUGUCGGCUCAUCGCAUCCUGGGGCGGUAGUACGUCCCGAGGGUUGGGCUGUUCGCCCAUGAAAGCGGUACGCGAGCUGGGUUCAGAACGUCGUGAGACAGUUCGUUCCAUAUCCGGUGUAGGCGUUAGAAUAUUGAGAGGAGCCUUCUUUAGUACGAGAGGACCGAGAAGGACAUACCUCUGGUGUACCAGUUAUCGUGCCAACGGUAAACGCUGGGUAGCCAUGUAUGGAGAGGAUAACCGCUGAAAGCAUCUAAGUGGGAAGCCCACCUCAAGAUAAG
rnacentral:rRNA from 1 species